AAAUUGAAGAGUUUGAUCAUGGCUCAGAUUGAACGCUGGCGGCAGGCCUAACACAUGCAAGUCGAACGGUAACAGGAAACAGCUUGCUGUUUCGCUGACGAGUGGCGGACGGGUGAGUAAUGUCUGGGAAACUGCCUGAUGGAGGGGGAUAACUACUGGAAACGGUAGCUAAUACCGCAUAACGUCGCAAGACCAAAGAGGGGGACCUUCGGGCCUCUUGCCAUCAGAUGUGCCCAGAUGGGAUUAGCUAGUAGGUGGGGUAACGGCUCACCUAGGCGACGAUCCCUAGCUGGUCUGAGAGGAUGA
rnacentral:rRNA from 1 species